rnacentral:rRNA from 1 species
AACGAACGCUGGCGGCAGGCCUAACACAUGCAAGUCGAGCGAACCCUUCGGGGUUAGCGGCGGACGGGUUAGUAACGCGUGGGAAUAUACCCUUUGGUACGGAAUAGCCUCGGGGAAACUGAGAGUAAUACCGUAUGUGCCCUUCGGGGGAAAGAUUUAUCGCCAAAGGAUUAGCCCGCGUUGGAUUAGAUAGUUGGUGGGGUAAUGGCCUACCAAGUCUACGAUCCAUAGCUGGUUUGAGAGGAUGAUCAGCAACACUGGGACUGAGACACGGCCCAGACUCCUACGGGAGGCAGCAGUGGGGAAUCUUAGACAAUGGGCGCAAGCCUGAUCUAGCCAUGCCGCGUGGACGAUGAAGGCCUUAGGGUUAGUAAAGUCCUUUCAGAUGGGAAGAUAAUGACGGUACCAUCAGAAGAA